CCUACGGGUGGCUGCAGUGGGGAAUAUUGGACAAUGGGGGGAACCCUGAUCCAGCCAUGCCGCGUGUGUGAAGAAGGCCCUCGGGGUGUAAAGCACUUUCAGUGAGGAAGAACGCCUGGUGGUUAAUACCCAUCAGGAAAGACAUCACUCACAGAAGAAGCACCGGCUAACUCCGUGCCAGCAGCCGCGGUAAUACGGAGGGUGCGAGCGUUAAUCGGAAUUACUGGGCGUAAAGCGCGCGUAGGUGGCUUGAUAAGCCGGUUGUGAAAGCCCCGGGCUCAACCUGGGAACGGCAUCCGGAACUGUCAAGCUAGAGUGCAGGAGAGGAAGGUAGAAUUCCCGGUGUAGCGGUGAAAUGCGUAGAGAUCGGGAGGAAUACCAGUGGCGAAGGCGGCCUUCUGGACUGACACUGACACUGAGGUGCGAAAGCGUGGGUAGCAAACAGGAUUAGAUACCCCGGUAGUC
rnacentral:rRNA from 1 species